GCUGACGAGUGGCGGACGGGUGAGUAAUGUCUGGGAAACUGCCUGAUGGAGGGGGAUAACUACUGGAAACGGUAGCUAAUACCGCAUAACGUCGCAAGACCAAAGAGGGGGACCUUCGGGCCUCUUGCCAUCGGAUGUGCCCAGAUGGGAUUAGCUAGUAGGUGGGGUAACGGCUCACCUAGGCGACGAUCCCUAGCUGGUCUGAGAGGAUGACCAGCCACACUGGAACUGAGACACGGUCCAGACUCCUACGGGAGGCAGCAGUGGGGAAUAUUGCACAAUGGGCGCAAGCCUGAUGCAGCCAUGCCGCGUGUAUGAAGAAGGCCUUCGGGUUGUAAAGUACUUUCAGCGGGGAGGAAGGCGAUAAGGUUAAUAACCUUGUCGAUUGACGUUACCCGCAGAAGAAGCACCGGCUAACUCCGUGCCAGCAGCCGCGGUAAUACGGAGGGUGCAAGCGUUAAUCGGAAUUACUGGGCGUAAAGCGCACGCAGGCGGUCUGUCAAGUCGGAUGUGAAAUCCCCGGGCUCAACCUGGGAACUGCAUUCGAAACUGGCAGGCUAGAGUCUUGUAGAGGGGGGUAGAAUUCCAGGUGUAGCGGUGAAAUGCGUAGAGAUCUGGAGGAAUACCGGUGGCGAAGGCGGCCCCCUGGACAAAGACUGACGCUCAGGUGCGAAAGCGUGGGGAAGCAAACAGG
rnacentral:rRNA from 1 species